rnacentral:misc_RNA from 1 species
GAAAUGCGAUAAGUAAUGUGAAUUGCAGAAUUCAGUGAAUCAUCGAAUCUUUGAACGCACAUUGCGCCCGCCAGUAUUCUGGCGGGCAUGCCUGUUCGAGCGUCAUUACAACCCUCAGGCCCCCGGGCCUGGCGUUGGGGAUCGGCGGAAGCCCCCUGCGGGCACAACGCCGUCCCCCAAAUACAGUGGCGGUCCCGCCGCAGCUUCCAUUGCGUAGUAGCUAACACCUCGCAACUGGAGAGCGGCGCGGCCAUGCCGUAAAACACCCAACUUCUGAAUGUUGACCUCGAAUCAGGUAGGAAUACCCGCUGAACUUAAGC